CUACGGGAGGCUCCAGUGAGGAAUAUUGCACAAUGGGGGGAACCCUGAUGCAGCAACGCCGCGUGGAGGAUGACGCAUUUCGGUGUGUAAACUCCUUUUAUAUGUCAAGAAAAUGACGGUAGCAUAUGAAUAAGCACCGGCUAACUCCGUGCCAGCAGCCGCGGUAAUACGGAGGGUGCAAGCGUUACUCGGAAUCACUGGGCGUAAAGGACGCGUAGGCUGUUUAGCAAGUCAGAUGUGAAAUCCAAUGGCUCAACCAUUGAACUGCAUUUGAAACUGCUAGACUAGAGUAUGGGAGGGGGAGAUGGAAUUAGUGGUGUAGGGGUAAAAUCCGUAGAUAUCACUAGGAAUACCUAAAGCGAAGGCGAUCUCCUGGAACAUUACUGACGCUAAGGCGUGAAAGCGUGGGGAGCAAACAGGAUUAGAUACCCCAGUAGUC
rnacentral:rRNA from 1 species